ACCUCAAAAUAGAGGGCUGCGUGUCAUUAUCGUUUCUGCCAUUGUAUUCUCUGUAGCCAUUACCAUUGCUUUGAUUCUAACUAUCUACUUAGAGCCGAAGCAGGUUCAUGGCCAUGCUGCCGUAGCCUGUGAAGAUGUACGCUGCAGUGACAUUGGCUUGAGCAUCCUUAAAGAUGGUGGAAAUGCUGUGGAUGCUGCAGUGGCAACUGCCUUUUGUCUUGGAGUAGUUAAUCCUGCUCAUUCUGGGAUCGGCGGAGGAGGAUUUGGUCUAGUUCAUGACCAUAAGUAUAAACUCUCUUGGGCUUACAACUUUAGGGAAGCAGUUCCUGCAAAGUUGGCACUCGAUGAACUGAAUGUUCCAAACAAAGAAAAGAGCAUCAAAUCAGCUGGCGUGCCAGGGCUUGUUAAAGGCUUGCAUGUUAUACACAAACAGCAUGGCCA
rnacentral:sRNA from 1 species